rnacentral:rRNA from 1 species
CCUACGGGAGGCUGCAGUGAGGAAUAUUGGUCAAUGGUCGGGAGCCUGAACCAGCCAAGCCGCGUGAGGGAGGAAGGUACAGAGUAUCGUAAACCUCUUUUGUCAGGGAACAAUGGCGUGGACGUGUCCCCGGAUGAGUGUACCUGAAGAAAAAGCAUCGGCUAACUCCGUGCCAGCAGCCGCGGUAAGACGGAGGAUGCGAGCGUUAUCCGGAUUUAUUGGGUUUAAAGGGUGCGCAGGCGGUCUGUUAAGUCAGCGGUAAAAGCCCGGGGCUCAACCCCGGCCCGCCGUUGAAACUGGCAGUCUUGAGUGGGAGAGAAGUAUGCGGAAUGCGCGGUGUAGCGGUGAAAUGCAUAGAUAUCGCGCAGAACUCCGAUUGCGAAGGCAGCAUGCCGGCUCCACACUGACGCUGAGGCACGAAAGCGUGGGUAUCGAACAGGAUUAGAUACCCGAGUAGUC